UAGAUUGAGCCUCAUGGUUCUCAUAACAUCCAUCCAACACACAUGUGAACCGUUUGACCCCUGGGUCUAUCACAAACAUCAGUGUAAAGAACGUCUUGUUAUCUUAAACAAAAACA
rnacentral:misc_RNA from 1 species